GGUCAGUGUUGAACUAGCAUGUAUUAUCUGAAUUUACUGAUGUGGAAUAACACCUGUAGCUCUAAAACAACACUGUGGCAAU